CCUGGCGGCAUUAGCGCGGUGGUCCCACCUGACCCCAUGCCGAACUCAGAAGUGAAACGCCGUAGCGCCGAUGGUAGUGUGGGGUCUCCCCAUGUGAGAGUAGGGAACUGCCAGGC
rnacentral:rRNA from 3 species